rnacentral:lncRNA from 1 species
UAUAUUUACAUAUUACGAUGGUCUAAUUAACCAUCGAGUUCUCAAGAAAAUGAAAUUUCUAGAUGCCAGGUCUUGGCCCAGAGAACCCUAAUCUACACAAUACAUCAUCUAUGACAUGCUCUUACAAUUCCAAUAAGACAAACGCAGUUGCAUUCCAAGUUAGGAAGAACUUGUGUUCUCAUGCAUAACCCAGCACUAGAAGGUGACAAAAGACAAUUGGCCUCGUUUAAGGAAGGUGUGUGAUGGUCCCGUUUCAACACUUCUAGAGGACCAAUACCAUGUGGUGGCUUUAUGGUGCUUAACAGAAGUAAGUGUUUGAUGUGUUAACACCCGGUAUUAUUAGUACUCCUGUUGACAAAGACCUCUGACAUUAACUGUUGCCUUGACCCAAGAGUGAUAAGGCUCACUCACCAUCGUCAGACUCCCGGUCCUCAUCCAAUUUCUUACUUUGUUUACACGCCACACACGUGCAGGUCUCUCUCUCUCUCUGAAUGUUGAGUGGCAGGACGUGACCAAGGAGCCACCUCCACAAGAUUACUCUUAGUGUUGCAACCCGUCUUCCUGCUACAUUCAUCAUUUCAGAAUUUAAGGCGAUGUCUUGGCCGGUGAUCUGUGUGGGUGAGAAAGACACCCAGUCCCCCCACGCCCACACUGCCUCCCCACCAUCGUCCACAGGGUCGGGCUGCUCAUCACCAUCACAUUCAUAGCACCAGUGAUAGGAAAGCAAAGAUGUAUAUACAGAAGAAACAGAAGCUUUACAAGGGUGGCUGCAGGAUGUGUGGACAGCGAAAAUCACACCAAGAAGAACCAAAGAAGACACACCCGCCACUUCUAUACAAAGGUCGCGAAGUGGCCCAGGAAUCUCCAGCUAAAAAUACGCGCCAUACCGGAGCAGUGCGGCCCAGCGUGCACCCCGCCAACUGCAACCAACAUUUCGCAGUGAGUUAGAGUGAGUGAAUGUGAGUGUGAGUGUGAGUGUGAGUGUGAGUGUGAGUGUG